AUAGGGGAGCCGUAGGGAAACCGAGUCUUAACCGGGCGUUAAGUUGCAGGGUAUAGACCCGAAACCCGGUGAUCUAGCCAUGGGCAGGUUGAAGGUUGGGUAACACUAACUGGAGGACCGAACCGACUAAUGUUGAAAAAUUAGCGGAUGACCUGUGGCUGGGGGUGAAAGGCCAAUCAAACCGGGAGAUAGCUGGUUCUCCCCGAAAGCUAUUUAGGUAGCGCCUCGUGAAUUCAUCUCCGGGGGUAGAGCACUGUUUCGGCUAGGGGGCCAUCCCGGCUUACCAACCCGAUGCAAACUGCGAAUACCGGAGAAUGUUAUCACGGGAGACACACGGCGGGUGCUAACGUCCGUCGUGAAGAGGGAAACAACCCAGACCGCCAGCUAAGGUCCCAAAGUCAUGGUUAAGUGGGAAACGAUGUGGGAAGGCCCAGACAGCCAGGAUGUUGGCUUAGAAGCAGCCAUCAUUUAAAGAAAGCGUAAUAGCUCACUGGUCGAGUCGGCCUGCGCGGAAGAUGUAACGGGGCUAAACCAUGCAC
rnacentral:rRNA from 1 species